UUGUUCGGAAUUACUGGGCGUAAAGGGCGCGUAGGCGGCCUUCUAAGUCGAACGUGAAAUCCCCGGGCUCAACCCGGGAACUGCGUCCGAUACUGGAAGGCUUGAAUCCGGGAGAGGGAUGUGGAAUUCCAGGUGUAGCGGUGAAAUGCGUAGAUAUCGUGAGGAAGACCAGUGGCGAAGGCGGGUCUCUGGACAGUUCCUGACGCUGAGGCGCGAAGGCCAGGGGAGCAAACGGG
rnacentral:rRNA from 1 species